GUGAAGAUGAGGUGUUUCUUCAAUACUCCAGUCCAAAUUUAGUGUGUGAGUGAACAACCUGCGGCAAGAUGUUUUAAUGCAGGAAAAGUCUCACACGGUCCCUCUGCCUGAGGCGACCAGAAUUCUAUCAAUCAAACGGCGAACACGCGAAACAAACCGCGAUCAGACAAACGGCACAACAGUAGACAGUAGUAACAAUGAAAUGUAUAUACUCACUUUGUGUCAAAGACGCACAUGAUCACAGCAACAUACUCAGUCGAUACCAGCAACCUUUAACUUACCGCUGCGCACAAGUGAAUGGGCAUAAUGUCUAGACACCGAAUGUAGGACGACCCCCACUUUUUCAGUCUUAUUUCAAUGCAAAAAACAUCAUCUUAUAUUCGGGCCAAUACGGUACUUUGAUUCAGGCUACAAUUGCGAGCGCCAUUACAAGAAUGAUGCGAUAAACACAUUACAAUACACAUUAUGAUAACCAAUAUUGAUGGAUUAGUCGUGCGGUAACAUGAGGUUCCGCUGUUCGAUUCCCGCUCUGCCUGAGUUACGUAGGUCGCACCUGAUUAUAAGUCGCACCCCCGGCCAAACUAUGAAAAAAAACUGCGAUUUAUAGUCCAGAAAAUACGGUCUUUGAAGAGAGCUAAUUUCGACCUAUAUAAUCGACAGGCUGAGGCUUCUGUCAGACCCUAGUUCCAAAUCAAUCAAUCAAUCAAUCAAUCAUUCAAUCAUUGUCGAGUGGGAUUACUUACUCAAUUUAACUCUGUACUUGGUGUUUCAGUGAAGCCUGUGGAUCACACUAUCAUCAUUGUGGCCACAGUCGUGUUCGUCGCCACCAUGGUGCUAUCGGUGGGCGUUGGCAUUUUUGUUUACAGAAGACAACAGGCCCAAUUGUUGUAACGGAAUGUCACCGCGGCAACAAGCGAAUGACAAGCACAGACUGCAAUGGACAAUCGGGACUGCAGAAAAGAUAAU